AUUGAACGCUGGCGGCAGGCCUAACACAUGCAAGUCGAGCGGAUGAAGGCAGCUUGCUUCUGGAUUCAGCGGCGGACGGGUGAGUAAUGCCUAGGAAUCUGCUUGGUAGUGGGGGAUAACGUCCGGAAGCGGGCGCUAAUACCGCCUACGUCCUGAGGGAGAAAGUGGGGGAUCUUUGGACCUCACGCUAUCAGAUGAGCCUAGGUCGGAUUAGCUAGUUGGUGGGGUAAGGGCCUACCAAGGGGACGAUCCGUAACUGGACUGAGAGGAUGAUCAGUGACACUGGAACGGGGACACGGUCCAGGGUCCUAAGGGAGGCAGCAGUGGGGAAUAUGGGACAAUGGGCGAAAGCCUGAUCCAGCCAUGCCGCGUGUGUGAAGAAGGUCUUCGGAUUGUGAAGCAGUUUAAGUUGGGAGGAAGGGCAGUAAGUUAAUACCUUGCGUUUGUGACGUUAACAACAGAAUAAGCACCGGCUAACUUCGUG
rnacentral:rRNA from 1 species